rnacentral:rRNA from 1 species
UACGUAGGGGGCAAGCGUUGUCCGGAAUCAUUGGGCGUAAAGCGCGUGUAGGUGGCUUGGUAAGCGAGUAGUGAAAUGACGAGGCUCAACCUCGUGUCCAUUGCUUGAACUGCUAAGCUAGAGCAUGAGAGAGGUGGCUGGAAUUCCCUGUGUAGGAGUGAAAUCCGUAGAUAUAGGGAGGAACACCGAUGGCGUAGGCAGGCCACUGGCUCAUUGCUGACGCUCAGGCACGAAAGCGUGGGGAGCGACCGGG